CCUACGGGAGGCAGCAGUGGGGAAUAUUGGACAAUGGGCGAAAGCCUGAUCCAGCCAUGCCGCGUGUGUGAAGAAGGCCUUCGGGUUGUAAAGCACUUUCAGUGGGGAAGAAAGCCUUGGGGCUAAUACCCUCGAGGAAGGACAUCACCCACAGAAGAAGCACCGGCUAACUCCGUGCCAGCAGCCGCGGUAAUACGGAGGGUGCGAGCGUUAAUCGGAAUUACUGGGCGUAAAGCGCGCGUAGGCGGUCUGAUAAGCCGGUUGUGAAAGCCCCGGGCUCAACCUGGGAACGGCAUCCGGAACCGUCAGGCUAGAGUGCAGGAGAGGAAGGUAGAAUUCCCGGUGUAGCGGUGAAAUGCGUAGAGAUCGGGAGGAAUACCAGUGGCGAAGGCGGCCUUCUGGACUGACACUGACGCUGAGGUGCGAAAGCGUGGGUAGCAAACAGGAUUAGAUACCCCAGUAGUC
rnacentral:rRNA from 1 species